CCUACGGGUGGCAGCAGUGGGGGAUAUUGCACAAUGGGGGGAACCCUGAUGCAGCGACGCCGCGUGAGGGAAGACGGUCCUCUGGAUUGUAAACCACUGUCCCCAGGGACGAAAAUGACGGUACCUGGGGAGGAAGCUCCGGCUAACUACGUGCCAGCAGCCGCGGUAAUACGUAGGGCGCGAGCGUUGUCCGGAAUUACUGGGUGAAAAGGGAGCGUAGGCGGGGAUGCAAGUUGGGUGUCAAAACUACCGGCUCAACUGGGAGGCGCACUCAAAACUGCAGCUCUUGAGUGAAGUAGAGGCAGGCGGAAUUCCUAGUGUAGCGGUGAAAUGCGUAGAUAUAAGGAGGAACACCAGUGGCGAAGGCGGCCUGCUGGGCUUCUACUGACGCUGAGGCUCGAAAGUGUGGGUAGCAAACAGGAUUAGAUACCCCUGUAGUC
rnacentral:rRNA from 1 species